AUAAUUAAGAUUAUGCCACAUAAAAGCUAAUUAAAGAGACAAAUAGUAUAGGAAAAGGAGAAAUCAGAUAAUUUUAUAAUUUAAGGUCUUAAAUGUUUUCUUUCUAUGUAUAUUGAAGUUGGGAUGUCUUUAUUUACAAUAUUUUCAAAAAAACUAAGCUAGGUAUGUUCCAAAGAAUUCACCAUUAACUAUAAAUAUUUAUGUAAUUUAGAUAAAUCCUAAGAUAAUUUAGAAAAGAAUUCUAAAUCUCUCAAGUACUUUAAUGGAUCUAAAACCAUCAUCUAACAUUUAUAAAUAUGGAUUCUUGAAAAUCAUUUGUAAUAAUCAUACCAACCGCAUUCUAAGUUCUUUGGAAAUAAGAGAUUCACCUUAAAAUUAUUCUCUCUAAAACUACACACACUACAUUCAUAAUAUUCAUCUACAUUACGUCGAGGGUGUUUGGCUAAGCUUAUUUUAAAGAGCUUAUAAGCUCUUGGGGCUUAUAAGAUGUUUCAAGAGCUUAUAAGAUGUAAUUUUUAAGAGCUUAUACGUGAUCAAAGUGUUUGGAUAAUUGAACUUAUAAGCUAGAGAGAGAAUUUUUUUUGCUAGAGAGAGAUAAUUUUUUUUUUAGAAAGAAAAAAUCGAAGAAAAAUGAACUUAAAUGAUAUAUGAUGGAAAUAAUAAAUUAUAGUUGAAAAAUAUUUGUAAAAAUAUUGUUGCAUAUGAGAUUAUAAAAAAAAUAAGUUGGAGUAGAGGAACUUAUUUUUUGGAGAGCUUAUUUUUGGAGCUUAUAAGCUGUUGAGGAGUUUAUUUUGCUAAACACUUUGAAGGAGCUUAUAAGCUCUUAAACAGCUUAUAAGCUAUUUUGAGGAGCUUAUAAGCUCAGCCAAACACCCUCUAAAUCAAUCACUACAUCCAAAACACCAUUUCCACAUUUUCUAACAAUGUCUUGUAUGUAAGUGGAUACAUCUAAGAAUUAUAUAAAAAACUAAUCUAAAAUUGCACAUUCACCUAAGUAAUUAAGUUAGACAAAAUUGCCAGCCUAUAUGUUUAUGAAACUGAAAAUGCCAAUCGGACUCAUUUUGUGCAUUCCCCAAGUUUUUAAGAGCGACGACUAGCUCUGGCGUGACUAGUUCUUUGUCCUCAGUCGUUACAUAGGCCAAGCUAAAACGAAUUUUUCUAAGCCAUACUUUUAAACAAAAUGGUAUUCGGUCUUUUUCUUUUUUUUUCUUUUUUGAUUUUGGGGAAGGGGGAGCGGUGGGGUUUGAUCCCUGAACCUCACUGUUCGUAGAUAGGAGCUCGCACGCUCACUCAAACAUCUUCCUUUCAUUUUAUUUAGGUUCAUCAUCAAAAUAUUUUCCUAAUCUAUUUUUAAUCAUUAUGUUAAUAAUCUUUACUUUUGUAGCAUUCAUUUAAUAUAGAACUAAAUUUUAUUAAGAUUGGUGCAAUUAUCUCUUAAGAAGAUAUUUGAGGGACAAUAAGUAUUUCUCUCUCCAUCCUCAUAAAAUAUAUUCAAUUUAUCAUUUUCGUCCGUCCUCAUAAAAGUAUGUGUACCAAAAUGAAAACAUCAUUUAUUAUGGAGAGGCCAAAAUAACAAAAAAAAUCAUACUUAUCUUAAAUAGAGGGUGUACUAUUUUUAAAUUCGAAAGGAGUACUUUUAUAUUUAGAACUUUUAAUUGGGUUUCACAUUUUACUAAUUAUCUAUAAGCUUUGUGUUGUAAUAUCAAAAUAUAACAAAAUAUGUUCCAUAUUUUCUUUUUUCACUUCUUUUUUUAAUAAAUUAACAAUUAAAUACUCUUUUUUAAUAAAUUAAUAAUUAAAUACACAAAUUUAAAAACAGUGUGAAAGUGGACACGAACCCAAUAUUUUUGACUUUAGACAUUAAUCAUUGUACCGCUAGCCCAACACACACCUCUUUCUUCCCUUGUUGAUACAGAGGGAAGUGAGGUUUAUAUUAUCUCAAUUUCACCUUUUCAACUUGAGGUUCAUCAUGGAUCUAAUUAAGAAAACGUAAAUAUAUAACAGAUGAAGAAGAAGCAUUACCUCAUAUUCUGGGAGUCCUUCAUUAUCAGUAGCGUGGGCCGUGUCUUUGUCACGUUCUUCGACUUUCUGGCGAAUUUUAUUGACGCUUUCGGCGACGGAUUUGAUGAGCUGCGCGAUUUCGACGACGGGUUUGGCUGACUUUUUGAUCCCCGAAUACCACUUGGACUCUCUGUCCGCCACUUUGAAGGCGAAGGAAUCGAUGGCAUCUUCAGCUUUGUAAACGCUGUCGCGUACUUCUCUCAGGAGAGUUCUAUCGAUAAGGUUGUUGCUCUUAGGCUUUUUAAUGGCGUCUUCAAGAUAUUCUGUCAAGAAUUUGUUGUCCCUCUCCAGCUCCUCCAACCGGACCGCCGCCUCGUCGAUCAAAAGUUUCUGCUCAUCCAGUUGCUGAAUGAAUCUUCCCACCAAGAACUUCACUGCUUCAAUGGCAAGUUCCACUGCUAUAGCUUCCAUUUUGUGGCAUAUAUCUCCUCUCUCCAGAUCUGUGCAAUAUUUGAUAGAUGUACACACUGAUGGAGCGCUUGAUGAGUAUAUUAAUUUCUGCCCCCUUGGUUAAAAAAAUAAAUACCACAAGGAUAUUUUGGUCAUUUAA